AGAGUUUGAUCAUGGCUCAGAAUCAACGCUGGCGGCGUGCCUAACACAUGCAAGUCGCACGAGAAAGGGUAGCAAUACCUGAGUACCGUGGCGCACGGGUGAGUAACACGUGAAUAAUCUACCUCCGAGUGGGGAAUAACUUAGGGAAACCUGAGCUAAUACCGCAUAACACUUACGAGUCAAAGCAGCAAUGCGCUUGGAGAGGAGUUCGCGGCAGAUUAGUUAGUUGGCGGGGUAAUGGCCCACCAAGACGAUGAUCUGUAUCCGGCCUGAGAGGGCGCACGGACACACUGGAACUGAAACACGGUCCAGACUCCUACGGGAGGCAGCAGUGGGGAAUUUUGCGCAAUGGGGGAAACCCUGACGCAGCAACGCCGCGUGGAGGAUGAAAUCCCUUGGGAUGUAAACUCCUUUCGAUCGGGACGAUUAUGACGGUACCGGAAGAAGAAGCCCCGGCUAACUUCGUGCCAGCAGCCGCGGUAAUACGAGGGGGGCGAGCGUUGUUCGGAAUUAUUGGGCGUAAAGGGUGCGUAGGCGGUUUGAUAAGUCUGAUGUGAAAUCUAUGGGCUCAACCCAUAGUCUGCAUUAGAAACUGUCGGGCUUGAGUAUGGGAGAGGUGAGUGGAAUUUCCGGUGUAGCGGUGAAAUGCGUAGAUAUCGGAAGGAACACCUGUGGCGAAAGCGGCUCACUGGACCAUUACUGACGCUGAUGCACGAAAGCUAGGGGAGCAAACAGGAUUAGAUACCCCCGUAGUCC
rnacentral:rRNA from 1 species